rnacentral:rRNA from 1 species
GAUGAACGCUGGCGGCGUGCCUAAUACAUGCAAGUCGAGCGAACGGACGAGAAGCUUGCUUCUCUGAUGUUAGCGGCGGACGGGUGAGUAACACGUGGAUAACCUACCUAUAAGACUGGGAUAACUUCGGGAAACCGGAGCUAAUACCGGAUAAUAUUUUGAACCUCAUGGUUCAAAAGUGAAAGACGGUCUUGCUGUCACUUAUAGAUUGAUCCGCGCUGCAUUAGCUAGUUGGUAAGGUAACGGCUUACCAAGGCAACGAUGCAUAGCCGACCUGAGAGGGUGAUCGGCCACACUGGAACUGAGACACGGUCCAGACUCCUACGGGAGGCAGCAGUAGGGAAUCUUCCGCAAUGGGCGAAAGCCUGACGGAGCAACGCCGCGUGAGUGAUGAAGGUCUUCGGAUCGUAAAACUCUGUUAUUAGGGAAGAACAUAUGUGUAAGUAACUGUGCACAUCUUGACGGUACCUAAUCAGAAAGCCACGGCUAACUACGUG